rnacentral:lncRNA from 1 species
AGGGCAUCUAAUUCACAUGACAAAGGAAAACAAUGAAUAAAGAAAACAAUUUAAUAAGAAAUAGAUCCUUUCUAUUUAUUAAAAACAAAAUCUUCUUGUCUGUAAAUUCGUUACUUCAAGGGCGAACAUGUAAACAGGGCGAGUUGUCCCGAUACCAAAUUCACGCAUGCGUACUUCAAAUAUCUACAGUAAAAACAUCCGGUCACAAGUAAACAAAUAACGUUCAUGUAGAUGAGAUGAAAUUUAAUAAUUUACAUAAAUAAAAGGGCACAUAUUUACGAUAGUGAUUGUUUUUCAAUCCUAAUUUACAAAUUAAAUGAUUCAGAUGCUUACUCAUGUG